rnacentral:rRNA from 1 species
UACGAAGGGGGCUAGCGUUGCUCGGAAUCACUGGGCGUAAAGCGCACGUAGGCGGAUUGUUAAGUCAGGGGUGAAAUCCUGGAGCUCAACUCCAGAACUGCCUUUGAUACUGGCAAUCUCGAGUCCGGGAGAGGUGAGUGGAACUGCGAGUGUAGAGGUGAAAUUCGUAGAUAUUCGCAAGAACACCAGUGGCGAAGGCGGCUCACUGGCCCGAUACUGACGCUGAGGCACGAAAGCGUGGGGAGCAAACAGG